rnacentral:tRNA from 1 species
AGGGUUAAUGAAGAAUGGUUUCUUCGUAAUAAAUUCUGAAUUCUUAUUUCGGGUUCGAUUCCCUUUAACUCUA